rnacentral:lncRNA from 1 species
UUAACUAACUUGACUUUACAUCAUUAUGUUAUGUCACCGCCUCCUCUUACCAUAAUCAGUUCUUGUCACUAACUUUUUGAAAAAUUAUCCCAUAUUCUAACACACAUAAAACCUAAUUCUUUCUUUUUAUUGUAAUUAGGCUAAAUCACUAGAUUAUUAGAUCGCAAAAUCUCUUUGUCACCUAUAUUCAUAUAAUUCACAGUACAAUCCAUCAUGGAGUCAUGUAAACAUAAACGUUCAGC